CAUGGAUUGGCAGAGGGGUACGCAGGGAUGAGCCCUUACCACAGUGCCAGAGGAACUUGGAGAACCCCCAAAUUAGUCCUUCAGUAUUCCUGAGGUGACUGAACCACAAUUUAUCUCCUCAGUUUCCUGAGUCGGAUACAUCCUUGUCUUCCACUUCUGACAUUUGGUGGCACACACUUAAUUGAAACCUUGUAACUUCAGAGACUGCUUGUAUUUGCAUUAUUUGCAUGUAGCAAAAAAUGUCCUCAGCUGUAACCUUAUUUAGUGCUCACUGAAUGCAAACCUCUCCAACAUGUUUGUUCUUAAUUUUCCCCUGACCAUGGUGUUAACAUGUGAAACACUUUUAAAACAGCCCCUAGAUGAAGAGCCUGUUCUGCCCUUGGCUUUGCAGGCAGGUCUGCCACCAUAUGUGCUGUUCUUGAUGCUGUUAUGAUAACGAGACCUUUAUUUACAUUUCUGUCCUUUCUGCUUGGCAUAAACUCAAGUGGGUGACCUGCAGCUGAACAGGACAUGCCUCAGGGCUGUGAGAGGGUGUUGGGUGUCCCUGGUUUCCCCCAGUCUCAGGGCCUAAUCCUCAGUGUCAAUGGCCUGUCCCCAUGGAGAUGCCUUUGGACUGGGACUGCUGGCCGCCAUUUUCUUUUGGCCCACUGAGGUGGUGCAAGGCAGGUGCCGUCAGACAUUUUGUGGCACCCUCUGUGAGGGAGCAGCUGGUCAACACUGAGCUCUGACAGGAAUUUUCUGCUGUUUUCCCGUUUCUUCUUUAAAUUUCAUCUUAAGGUCUUCUGAAAGUUAGGAACUGCUGAAAAGGAAUUGGGAAGAAAGAAUUUUCUCCACUUUGUGUGAGGAAAGCCUGUGCAUUGCCCUACUUGGUAAUAGCAAAGCCAUUUGUAGCAUCAGUUUGUUUUAACAAAAUAGUUAUGUUUACAUACAGCAUAAGAAGAAUUAGAACUUUCUUCUUUCUUCUUAUCUCUGCUCUCAUUAAUGUAUUUGCUUAUUGCUAUUUAUGUUGCUUCAGGUUGUUUCCUGCCACCAGCAGCAUCGGGUUGCUGCCUGGAGCACCUGAGAUGGCGGCAGUCUCCUCAGGAUUCUUUCCAUCAGUCCAUGGCUAUCCCCUACAAACUAUCUGAGUUUCACCUUUUUGCUCUAAUUGCAUGAACUACCCUUGGACACAGGAGGAUAUUAUUGGUUGAGUAGAAAGAUCUGUCAAAGAAUUCUAUGCUGCUCUUUUAAGAAGCUGGAAAGGAUGAUACAGACUGGUGGAAUUCGUCUCUUAACUCUAGUGUCUCUCUCUACUUAUGUGUCUCUAGUACAUAUAUACUUGUUGGAUACUCAGGCUGCAAUAAUUAUUUUUAGACAUUCCUUAAAAUGGAUUUAUUAACAAAUGUAUAUUAAAAGUUUUUCAAAAGUGAAUGGCAAAGUAUCCAAACAGUCUUUUCAAAGGAGACAUUUUGUUACUGAUACAAACCUUUGUAGAGGACUUCUGACAUAAUACUUUCACAGCAUCUUAUUGGAAACAAAUGGCUUAAUUGACUCUGACUUUAAAAAUUAGAGGCUGUGGACAUGGCAAUCUUUCCAAUGUAAUUCCUUGACACAGUAACAUGUAAGAAAAAAGGGUAUUAUUUGGGCAAGGUGUUUUUGGUAAUGUUUAAUGAAGUCUAAAUGUCAGCUGAUUGUUUGGGCUAGUUGCUGCUUUACUAAGUAUUUCUCAAGGGCAUUAUUGCCUAGAAGCAAAGCAUAAGGAAAAGUAAAUAUAAUCUGAUGGGAAUUCGCCUCAACUAUCAUAGUAGCCUUACCAGAAUUUCCCUGAAUUUGUUUCAUACAGGUGACUUUGGAAAAAGAACGCAUCAUGAUGUAUUCCAGUUAGUAAUACAUAUAUGAUAGAAACAGUUUUACUUCUAAAAAGAUUGUGUUUUGAGCAUUAACUGUAUUCUCUAAUAGGCAUAAUCCCUAUGACAGGGUUUUCUAAAAACUGUGGUAACAAAGGUCAAGUAAUUCAGAAACAAAGCACAGAAGUGUCAUGUAGGAGUGCAGUCCAAGUCCUGGCUUCCACUGUACUCAUUUUCAGAAUUCCCACUGGCAUUUCUAGUCACAGGCAUUGACAUCAGAAUCCAAGAUAAUUAAAUCAUGCAAGGAUUGUGCUUAAUCAAAUCAGCUUAAUCAAAUAAUCUGUGUGUGUGUGGAGGGGAAGAAUAUUAUGAGUAGAAUCAUAGAAUCACUCAGGUUGCAAAAGACCUUAAAGAUCAUGAAGUCCAACCACCACCUAGCCAAACUACCCAAACUCAAGUAGUGAAGUUCUCAGUUUAAGCAAAAUAAAAUUAAAGGAGUUGUUUAGGAAAAACA
rnacentral:lncRNA from 1 species